rnacentral:rRNA from 1 species
GACGAACGCUGGCGGCGUGCUUAACACAUGCAAGUCGAACGCUGAACCCGCUUCGGUGGGGGAUGAGUGGCGAACGGGUGCGUAACACGUGGGCAACCUGCCCCCGGCUCUGGGAUAACUCCAAGAAAUUGGGGCUAAUACCGGAUGUGACCGCUGGCCGCAUGGUCUGGUGGUGGAAAGGGUUUCCGGCUGGGGAUGGGCCCGCGGCCUAUCAGCUUGUUGGUGGGGUAGUGGCCUACCAAGGCGACGACGGGUAGCCGGCCUGAGAGGGUGACCGGCCACACUGGGACUGGGACACGGCCCAGACUCCUACGGGAGGCAGCAGUGGGGAAUAUUGCGCAAUGGGCGGAAGCCUGACGCAGCGACGCCGCGUGGGGGAUGACGGCCUUCGGGUUGUAAACCUCUUUCAGCAGGGACGAAGCGAAAGUGACGGUACCUGCAGAAGAAGCACCGGCAAACUACGUG